rnacentral:lncRNA from 10 species
AUGGUGUCCCCUGGUCGUGGAGGUUUGAGAUGCUUCUGAUGGGGAAGAAAUCUCAAUUAGAAAACAAGACUUCCUGAGAAGGUCCCCAUCCUUAACCCUGAAGUGACAGGAAGCUCAUCACCUCCCCUCCUGAACAGCCUAUUACACUAUCUGGUCCCACAGACACGUUUCUGUUACCAUCCAUACUAGUUUCCAGCGGUGGUUUUGGCAAAUUAUUUAGGUUGGUGCAAAAGUAAUGGCAAAAUCUGCAAUUACUUUUGUACCAACCUCAUACUACAAACUUGUUAACCUAAAACAACAGCAUUUUAUUCUCUCACUGCUCCAGAGGGCAGAAGUUGAAAUCAAGGUGUGCAUAGGCCGAGCUCCCUCUGCAGGUUCUAGGAGGAACCUCCCUUGACACUUCCAGCUUCUGGUGGCCCCAGGUGUUAUUCAGCUGAUGGCUGCAUCAGUCCAGUCCCUGCCCCAGUGUUCA